UACGAAGGGGGCUAGCGUUUUUCGGAAUCACUGGGCGUAAAGCGCACGUAGGCGGACUUUUAAGUCAGGGGUGAAAUCCCAGGGCUCAACCCUGGAACUGCCCUUGAUACUGAAAGUCUCGAGUCCGGGAGAGGUGAGUGGAACUCCGAGUGUAGAGGUGAAAUUCGUAGAUAUUCGGAAGAACACCAGUGGCGAAGGCGGCUCACUGGCCCGGUACUGACGCUGAGGUGCGAAAGCGUGGGGAGCAAACAGG
rnacentral:rRNA from 1 species